rnacentral:pre_miRNA from 1 species
GAUUUCAACUUAAAAAGUCAUCAACAACAAAGUUGUAUAACUCAUCAAGAUCUAUAACUUUUAUUUCAGUCAUUUCUUCAUCCGACAAAGUGAUAGUAACAUUCUUCACAAAAUUUACAUAUCUCUCAUUUGGUUUUAUAAACUAUAAGAGAUAAGAUAUGUAAAUUUUGUGAACAAUGUUAUAAUCACAUUGUUGGAUGAAGAAAUGAUCAAAAUAAAAGUUGUACGUCUUGAUGAGUUCUACAAUUUUAUGUUCAUGAUUUUUUUCACCUGAAAUU